rnacentral:rRNA from 1 species
CUUCGGGGGUAGAGCACUGUUUCGGCUAGGGGGUCAUCCCGACUUACCAACCCGAUGCAAACUACGAAUACCGAAGAAUGUUAUCACGGGAGACACACGGCGGGGGCUAACGUCCGUCGUGAAGAGGGAAACAACCCAGACCGCCAGCUAAGGUCCCAAAGUCAUGGUUAAGUGGGAAACGAUGUGGGAAGGCACAGACAGCCAGGAUGUUGGCUUAGAAGCAGCCAUCAUUUAAAGAAAGCGUAAUAGCUCACUGGUCGAGUCGGCCUGCGCGGAAGAUGUAACGGGGCUAAACCAUGCACCGAAGCUGCGGCAGCGACGCUUAUGCGUUGUUGGGUAGGGGAGCGUUCUGUAAGCCUGCGAAGGUGGCCUGUGAGGGCUGCUGGAGGUAUCAGAAGUGCGAAUGCUGACAUAAGUAACGAUAAAGCGGGUGAAAAGCCCGCUCGCCGGAAGACCAAGGGUUCCUGUCCAACGUUAAUCGGGGCAGGGUGAGUCGACCCCUAAGGCGAGGCCGAAAGGCGUAGUCGAUGGGAAACAGG